rnacentral:ncRNA from 1 species
ACAAAUGCGGUCCUCCGAGUCUUUCGGCCUGUCGCUACAGAGCUAAUGGCCGAUAAACCGAUAGGGUGUAUCUGGAAACGGGUGCGCCUCCCAUUGUGAAAAGGAGGAUUUAAUGAUGUUAU